GUGUCAGCAGCCGCGGUAAUACCCGCAGCCCGAGUGGUGCUCGAUUUUAUUGAGCUUAAAGCGUACGUAGCCGGUCUUGUAAAUCCUUGGGUAAAUCGGGCAGCUUAACUGUUCGACUUCCGAGGAGACUGCAUGACUUGGGACCGGGAGAGGUCAGAGGUACCUUCGGGGUAGGGGUAAAAUCCUGUAAUCCUGAGGGGACCACCAGUGGCAAAGGCGUCUGACUAGAACGGAUCCGACGGUGAGGAACGAAGCCCUGGGGCGCAAACGGGAUUAGAUACCCUUGUAGUCC
rnacentral:rRNA from 1 species